GACGAACGCUGGCGGCGCGCUUAACACAUGCAAGUCGAACGGAAAGGCCCUGCUUUUGUGGGGUGCUCGAGGGGCGAACGGGUGAGUCACACGUGAGUAACCUGCCCUUGACUUUGGGAUAACUUCAGGAAACUGGGGCUAAUACCGGAUAUUCGCUCCUGCUGCAUGGUGGGGGUUGGAAAGUUUCGGCGGUUGGGGAUGGACUCGCGGCUUAUCAGCUUGUUGGUGGGGUAGUGGCUUACCAAGGCUUUGACGGGUAGCCGGCCUGAGAGGGUGACCGGCCACAUUGGGACUAAGAUACGGCGCAGAAUCCUACGGGAGGCAGGAGUGGUGAAUAGUGCACAAUGGGCGGAAGGCUGAGGGAGCAACGCCGGGUGCGGGAUGACGGCCUUCGGGUUGUAACCCGCUUUCGCCUGUGACGAAGCGUGAGUGACGGUAAUGGGUAAAGAAGCACCGGCUAACUACGUG
rnacentral:rRNA from 1 species